rnacentral:lncRNA from 1 species
CGGAAAGCGGAGUACAGCUGGACUGCUGUUAAGGGGUGAGUAAGCCAUAGGGAGAGUCGGGCAUGAAACUCUGCCACGGACAGAUUUUUAGAAGAUACCAUCCUUGAGCAGAAUCCUUUGCACUCAAACGGAAUUUCAUAGAUGCUUACUUACAGCUGAGUCACCUAUUAUUAUGCGCCCUCCUGCAGCGGGGAGGCCCAGCAAGGCUCAGCCCCUCAAGAUUGGGGGAGGGGGGCCUCAACCCCAUCCCUACAUACUUUGUACAGGACUGAGCUGUCCUCAGCCCCAUAGAGUUGGCACCUUUGACACCAGGGAAAGAUUCAGCAAAAUUGUGCUGGUAGGAAACAACACAAAGACUCCUGCUAGCUCAACAGGACUUCCUCCCCACAUUGUGCCCAUGCCCCUCCAAACUGGUUCAAGGAGGGAGUGUCAUGAGAACCCCCAGAACAGCAUGCAGAAGCAGGAGGAGGAAGUGGGGUGUCAUUCUGUCUGGCAAACAGAAGUGCUUGCGCUGAUAAAGCAAUAACAGCAUGAAGUUGAAUUCCAUCCCAUAGUUAGAUGACAUCCAAAGGGGGUUCCAGUGCUCACCCAAAGUUCAGCUUCCAUGGAAUAAAGUCCAGAGGACACUGUAGUGUCUUUAGGAUAUAUGGUUUUAUUGACACAUACAGACAUACCUUGGAAGUCAAACGGAAUCCGUUCCGGAAGUCCGUUCGACUUCCGAAAAGUUCGGAAACCAAGGCAAAGCUUCUGAUUGGUUCCCGAUUGCGCAGGUGCGCUGGAAACAAUAGCCGAAGCUGCGCUGGACGUUAAGCUUCCAAAAAAGUCCAAAAACUGGAACACUCAAUUCUGGUCUUUGAUCGUUCGGGAGCCGGAAUGUUUCAUUCUCCCUUGGCGUUUGGGAGCCAAGGUAUGACUGUAUAUGUAACCUCAGCAUAGGAUGGAGGGGCUCACAGCAUUGCCAUCCUGAAAGAUCUUGUUUUGCCGUUCUUUGCAGCUUUGGAUGCAGCACAGAGCAAGCUGUGUCUCCAUCUUUUAGCCCAGGUCACACAUCCCUCCGAUGAUUGUUCUGCUACCUAGCAGCUAGGGUGUAGGGGGAGGCCCACUCAUUUGUUCUAUGGCACAGAGCACCUUCUUUGGUUAUGCUAAUCGUGGCGAUUAAGUAGCCAGCCAAAGCCAUUACCUAGACAAAGGAACAGGUUCAGCAACUCACACACAUUCUGUGCCCACAGAUUCAGGAUCCCAAGAGCUGGAAGGGACUCAGGGCAUUAUUCACACUGACCCUCCCCAACACAUAACACUAUAUUAUAAAAAUGAACUUUUGACCAGUGCAGAUACUUGUGGCUUCAGCACCAAGCCAGGUGUCUUCCAUGCCCGCAUUCCCUUAAUAUCCAGUCAGGUGGACUCAAAGAUCGGUCACAUCACCAACAGCAUUAUUUUUUAUUUUUUGCUGGCCUUUCACCAGAAGGCCCCAGGGAAGGUUACAGCAUAUAAAAACACAACUGAAACAGUAAAACAUCAACCGCCCCACUCAUAACCUCAAACUCAGUAAUCCUUCCACACAUUACAAGGACCAGACAGGCCAGAGUGCAGAGCUGCAUAUUCAGCCAUUGACAAAGGCUAUGAUGCCAGCCCCACCUCUGUGGGGAGGGAGUCUUGUGACGUCUUAGUAGCCACCGCCAACUUUCCUUGCACAGCUUUUUGGUGCAUUUCUCCCUGAGAAAAACUUUUUUUAAUUAUUUGGCAAGCAGUGGGUCAGCAAAGAGAAGCCCAGCAGAUGACCUCAUUGUCCCUGUGGUGAAAUAAGGAGGAGACCCCACCCAUCUCUCUUCUGCCACACCAGCUUUUGUGAUUACUUCUCAGUGUACAAAUCAGCAAGCACGCCUUCUUUCACACACAUGCUUGUACACAGGUAGAGGCAGCGUGUACCAGCGUGUUCAAUGUAAUGUGUGAACAAGCCCUUGUGUGGCCGUUGUUUGGGAUCUUUCGGAUCCAGAAGCAGACGUCUCAAUGUUUUGAAGACAGUUUUGUAAACGACAAGUCAAUAUAAACCUCUCUGUCAUUUGGGGGGAGGGUGUUGAAUACCACAGGAGAAGCCAAAAUAAUUUCUUGCUUUUUUAUGACCUGUGGUGGUGGGGAGGAGGUUCUUUUAUUUUUAUCCUGUUACAUUGAACAAUCACCCCCCCCCCCCGUUUUCUUUUUGCUUCUUUCAGGAGGAAAUCUUUUCAUUUUCUUAAAUAGGUUGGCUUUCCUGCAUGACAACCACUAGGUGACAUAAUAAUUUGUAUUGGAAAUGUUCCCUUCUUGGAUUAAAAAUCAGCUUCGACUGCAUUCCAACGUUCUGGGUGCAUUGCCAGUUUUGGUUAUCAAUGGACUAAAUAAUUCAAAACUUGGUGUCAUUAAAUGGAGCGGUGGGAGGUGUAACUAAAAUGAAUUUUCAGCCAUGCAGCUGGUAUUUUAACCCACAGGAAUCUGAAUGCAUAAUGUUUAAUUGGGCCUUUAUAUUUUUGGUUAUUAUCAAGUAUAAAAAGGUAAUCAUGGCAAAUGUUCUUCAAACACACUGCUAUAUCUUUUAACUCAGAAGUAAGUCCUGCUGUUUUCAGUGAGGUUUACUCUCUAAAUGUCAUUUAGGGAUGCAGCUUCAGGUCCAAAAAUAUGCAAAGCCAGGUCUUGAAUCAGAGAAUUUUAGGGUUGGACAUGACCUUGGAAAUGGUGACUCAUACCUACUGGAACUGGUAGGGCAGAUGAUAUUAUUAUCCCCGUGUCACAAUGGGUUAGUGUGUCUGGCUGUUAGCCAGAUGGUUGGUUCAAGCCCUCCAUGGAUGGCUGUUGGUAGAAUUCCUGCAUUUGAGCGGGUUGGACUAGAUGACCCCCAGGGUCCCUUCCAACUCUACAAGUAUAUUAUUCUAUUAUUAUUAUUAUUAUUAUUAUUAAUAAUAAUAAUUCCAAGGAUCUCAAGUUGGUGGACAUGGUUCCACCCCUCACUAUUUUAUCCUCACAACAACCUUGCGAGGUAGGUAAUCCUAAGAAAAAAUGACUGGGCUACGAUUAUAUAGUGUUUAUUUUUUUAUAUUAGGUAGGGUUUUUCCUGAUUGUUAGAUUAAGGGUGCUCUAGAAAUAAUUGCCAUUAUCCUCACCCAGCGACUACAAACUCAUACACUCCAAUAAUCUUCCCUGUUUGCCAGAACAAUUCCUAUUUUUUCCUGGAAAAUCACUGUCCCUACUUUCGCCCUAUUUGUUUUUUUGCUUGCUAGGGAUGCAUUGCUAAACAUGCGUAUGCGAGACUUUCUCGUGUCUUCAGGGUUUAAAUCUUCAGAAAUUAAAUCUCCAGAGUUGUGAACAGAUGCAUGUUUCCUUUAAGGGUACCAGGUAGUGUGCAACCUGCCAUUUUCCACACUGGAGCUGCUGAAAUCAUCAUCAUCUGUAGAGCACUUUCAAGUGUUUAAAAUGCUUCACACAAAUUGCCAUCCUUACAAGUGCCCUAAAAAUUAAAUCAGUAUUAAUACCCACCUCCAUCACAAACAGAGAGGAGUGAGGUUGAGGGAGAGAACAGCUUUGCUAAGGCCAUUCAGGGAGCACACGGGAGAGAUAAAAGGUAAAAUGGGACACGGGUGGUGCUGUGGUCUAAACCACUGAGCCUCUUGGGCUUGCUGAUUGGAAGGUCAGCAGUUCGAAUCCUCAUGACGGGGUGAGCUCCUGUUGCUCUUUCCCAGCUCCUGCCAACCUAGCAGUUUGAAAGCAUGCCUGUGCAAGUAGAUAAAUAGGUACUGUUGCAGUGGGAAGAUAAACGGUGUUUCCAUGUGCUCUGGUUUCCCUCACGGUGUCCCGUUGCGCCAGAAGCGGUUUAGUCAUGCUGGGUACACGGCCCAGAAAGCUGUCUGUGGACAAAUGCCGGCUCUUUCGGUCUGAAAGCGAGAUGAACGCUGCAACCCCAUAGUCGCCUUUGGCUGGACUUAACCGUCCAGGGUUCCUUCACAUGGGAGAGUUGAGAUUUGAACAUCUCUUUAGUCAUUCCUUGCUGUGUUUUCUUACUGUAAGGGAGAGAGCUGGAUCAGCAUUGAAAGAAGUUAAUGAUAAGCGAUGGACAUAGAUAAUCCCUGUUCUGUGAAAGCCACCAGCUUUUGAAGGUGACUCAUUCAUCCUCCUCACCACAGCUAAAGGUGAGGGAGGCCUUAUCUGAGGCCUCUGCGUGUGUGCCUCUGUGUAAACUGCAGUCUGAGUCAGAGAGGGUGCUCCCAGGUGAGGGUCAGAGUUUGCGUACGCACCACAUGUCUUUCCCCAAAGAAUCUUCAGAACUACUGUAUACUCAUGGAGCUACAAUUCCCAGCACCCUUGAUAAACUAUAGUUCCCAAGAUUGUUUCCCAUGGGCUUUAAAUGUUUGGCAUGUACACACCCUGAUAUCGCAAAUGUUAUUGCUCAGAGGGGAAUGCAGCCCUCAGGAUGAACAAAUUUCCCACACCUGGUGUUGGCAGUCCUGAGCUAGAUGGAUCAAUGGUCUGAUAAGACAGCUUCCUGUGUACCUAUAUAUUCAUUUUCUGCCAUCAGUGAGAAGUCAGAAUUCCUCCUGGUAUCAAGGAGUGAAGUUCAGCCCCUCCUCUGAAGGCAAACCUUUCUUGACUGGGUAAAGGUGGAGUUUUUGGCUGGUGAGACGAACACUGUGCCAAAGGUCAGACAGAGUGCAUGCGAAGGCUUUUUGUCCUCUUUCGUUCAGAUUGCCCAUAAUAACAUCUCGUUGUAGGUGUGCAAAUAAGUACCAGGAAGCCAUAAACCCUGCUACAUGCUCAAUCUGCACACCAAGCCACAGCGAGGAACUGAAGCAUGAGCACUGCCUGACAAGACACAUUGCCUGGGAACCACAUCCGAUUAGCUCCCUUUAGAUAACUCUCGAGCUAUUUGAGUAGCUGAUUUGCCACAAGGCAGAUAUUAAAUCCUAGCUUGAAGCUCGGAGCAGCAAAGCAGUGAAACCGGGGCACUUUCUCUGAGCUGGAGGAAUUGGAUUUCGCGGGGAAGGGCUAAGUCUGCGCAUGGCCUCAGUCGCUGCCGCCUAAUCGCUUACUGUAUGCGUCUGGCUGUUUUCAGCGCUAUGGCAAGAUUUGAAAUAUGCCGUGGAAGACUGAUCCUUGCCUGGAAACUGAAACUUAACUACAGUGGGAGCUGCAAGUCAACAUGCAUCUGUGUCAGAAGCAGCAGAAGCCGCUUAGAGCUUUAGGACAGCAAUCUGUAAUUAUGGUAAUACCACGGCCGGCAAACUCUGUGGGUCAAAACACCAGCCAGUCCGAUUGCAGACUUGUCUGCACCAGCACCUACAGCUGCAAAGAAGAGUCUUCACUUCCUUGAAGCAUUUCUUUUAAAAAGCUUUUGCUUGUGUAAAAGGAGGGACACAAUCCGAUUCAGAAAAAGCGAAUCCCUAAAUCAUACCUGCACUGUACAUCUAAAGCCCUGUUGCACCACUUUAGGGAUCACGUUUUCUCCUAAAGGAUCCUGGGAACUGUUGUUUGUUAAGGAUCUCCUAGGCACUGUGGGUUAAACCAUAGAGCCUAGGACUUGCCGAUCAGAAGGUUGGCGGUUCAAAUCCCUGCGACGGGGUGAGCUCCUGUUGCUCUGUCCCAGCUCCUGCCAACCUAGCAGUUCGAAAGCACGUCAAAGUGCCAAGUAGAUAAAUAGGUACCGCUCCAGCAGGAAGGUAAACGGCAUUUCCGUGCGCUGCUCUGGUUUGCCAGAAGUGGCUAGUCCUGCUGGCCACAUGACCUGGAAGCUGUAUGCCAGUUCCCUUGGCCAAUAAAGCGAGAUGAGCACCACAACCCCAGAGUCGGUCUCGACUGGACCUAAUGGUCAGGGGUCCCUUUACCUUACCUAACAACUCUGAACACCCUUCACAAACUGCAGUUCCUAGGAUUCUUUGAGAGGAAAGCUCUUAAAGUGGGAUAAGAGUGCUUUAAAUAUACGUUGUGGUUGUGGCCACAGUGAAACAUCCAAUUCAAAAUGCUGUUCUUCUGUACCAGGAAACAGAACAAUCCCUAAGUAGCCAUUUGUCAAACUAGUUCUUUAUUUUGUUACUGGAAAAAUCCGAGGGCUCCCUUGGACAAAAAGUAAAGACACCAACCAGAGUAAAUUGGAGCAAAUCAGCAGCCUGUAGGCUUGGCCUUUAUUGAACUGUUGCAACAGGGUGUUCCCCUCACUUGCAGGAGAGAGGAAAGACACAGAAAAUGGUGUGCAAGACCUUAUAAAAACUUUUGAAAUUCCCACCCUGUAGAUCAAGCCCACCCCCAGAAACAUCAUGCAUACAUUACAGAAAGGAGGGGUUGAGGGAGGAGUUGUGGUGGUAACCUGAGUGUCCUGUCACCUGGCUGGUUCCCCUCUACCCCUCCCCAUGAGUCAUUUUCUGAAGACAAAAGGUAGUCGCAGUUUCCUGCCCCCUGAGGGAAGAUCUGAUCAUUGUCCUUUGUUCCAGUCCAUGCAGAAUCCAUUCCCAUAUGCAAGUUCUUUGUGAUCUUGAUUGUCUUCUGUCUAGGACCAUCAGGGUUGGCAUAGCAACUGGGCAGGGCUCCUGUGGAUGUGCUGGGAUGGUGAAGGGAUUAUGGCUGACCAGAACCAAGCCACCCCCCUUUGAUAGUCCUUGUCAUAUGGAGUAAAAUAAAAAU